UGAUAGUUAGUGGGUUAGUCAGAGGGUUGAGAUCCCUGAUAGUUAGAGGGUUAGUCAAAGGGUUGAGAUCCCUGAUAGUUAGUGGGUUAGUCAGAGGGUUGAGAUCCCUGAUAGUUAGUGGGUUAGUCAGAGGGUUGAGAUCAAAAUCAAAUAAAAUCCACUUGUAUUGGCCACACACACAUGGUUAGCAGAUGUUAAUGUGCCUGUAGCGAAAUGCUUGUGCUUCUAGUUCCGACAGUGCAGUAAGUGGGUUAGUCAGAAGGUUGAGAUCUCAGAGGGAGAGAGGAAGAGAGGGAGAGAGAGAGAGAGGGAGAGAGAGAGAGAGAGAGAGAGAAAGAGAGAGAUGGGGAGAGAGAGAGUGAGAGAAAGAGGGGGAGAGAGAGGGAGGGUGAGAGAGAGGGAGAGAGAGAGAGGGGGGGGAGAACAUAGCAGCCCAUGAAUUUAAGCAACAGCAGUAACAAAGAAGAAGCAACAACAACAACAACAACAACAACAGGAAGAAACAACAGCCGCAGGAAGCAAAAACAAAGCGGAAGCUCUUUUUGAAGCUGGUUAUCUAUUCAUGCAUGUGAAUGAGACGCAUGAGAGGAAGGACAAUCCAAAACGUCCACCUGGCUGUGUGACCGUUUGUGUCCAUUGUCUCAGUGGCCUCUCCCUCUCCAAACACCAGGACAACCAGGACACUGGCUGAGUCCCAAAUGGCACCCAAUGCCCUUCAUAGUGAACUAGUUAGCACAGGAAACAGGGUGCCAUUUGGGAGGGACAGUGAUUUGAAAGUCAAGCGAACCAUUGGGUGACUCACCGCAGCGCUUGUCUUUGAUGCCUCCAAUACCGCGUCAGAUACUCUGCCAGGACUCACUUGAAAAGCCUAUGAACACACACAUAGACAGGUCUGGUCUGGUCUGGUCUGGUCUGGUCUGGUCUGGUCUGGUACACUAUGAACACACACAUAGACAGUCUUAUCGAUCUGCCACAAAACCCCCUGUUAGUCUAACUGGUCUGUCUGCUACACUCCACUGACACGUUGGUCCUUCCUGUUUGGCCCUGUCCGGGGGUAUCAUCGGAUGGGCCACAGGUGUCUCCUGACCCCUCCUGUCUCAGCCUCCAGUAUUUAUGCUGCAGUAGUUUAUGUGUCGAGGGGCUGGGGUCAGUCUGUUAUAUCUGGAGUAUUUCUCCUGUCUUAUCCGGUGUCCUGUGUGAAUUUAAGUAUGCUCCCUCCAAUUCUCUCUCUCUUUCUCUCUUCUCUCGGAGGACCUGAGCCCUAGGAGCAUGCCUCAGGACUACCUGGCAUGAUGACUCCUUGCUGUCCCCAGUCCACCUGGCCGUGCUGCUGCUGUACAGCACUUUGUGACAUCAGCUGAUGUACGAAGGGCUUUAUAAAUACAUUUGAUUUGGUCAGUCUGCUACUCUCUCUACUGACAAGUUGGUCAGUCUGCUACUCGCUCUACUGACAAGUUGGUCAGUCUGCUACUCUCUCUACUGACA
rnacentral:lncRNA from 13 species